rnacentral:rRNA from 1 species
UACGACUACAUAUCAGGCAUAUCAAUAAGCGGAGGAAAAGAAACUAACAAGGAUUCCCUUAGUAACGGCGAGUGAAGCGGGAAGAGCUCAAAUUUGAAAUCUUAAAGGGUUUCCCUUUACGAAUUGUAGUUUAAAGAAGUGUUUUCUGUUGGAGUUUCGGUAAAAGUUCUUUGGAAUAGGACAUCAUGGAGGGUGAGAAUCCCGUAUUUGACCGUUACUUUCCAGCUGUGUGAUACACUUUCAAAGAGUCGGAUUGUUUGGGAAUGCAGUCCAAGAUGGGUGGUAAAUUUCAUCUAAAGCUAAAUAUUGGCGAGAGACCGAUAGCGAACAAGUACCGUGAGGGAAAGAUGAAAAGAACUUUGAAAAGAGAGUUAAACAGUACGUGAAAUUGUCAAAAGGGAAGCGUUUGACACCAGUGUUGUUUAGUUGAAAAUCAAUUCAAUAGUUUUUGAUUCUAAGUAGUAUUGACUUCAUCAGCUUGCUGCUUUCUUCUCAGAAAUUAUUGAAUGCACUUUUCAGUUAACAAGUCAACAUCAAUUUCUUUUGUUGUAAAAGGGUAAGAGGAAGGUGGCUUGCGCUUCGGCUCAAGUGUUUAUAGCCUUUGGCCUCUGCAAUCGGAGAGAUUGAGGUCUGCAGCGUAGAUCCUUCGGGGUUAGAUACAUUUGUGCUAAGUUAUAGCCUUUCAUAGACAACUUGUUGACUAUGGUCAGUCAUGUAGCUUACUCGCUUAUGCUAUUUUACCUACGCUUAGGAUGUUGAGUAGCGACAUACGCAC